UUGUCUUAUCAUAGGCAACAAGGCAUAUACCAAAGCACAAGAAGCUCUAGGGACAAAAUUGUAAUUUGGGAGACAGUGGAAAGAGAUAACGUGUGUGCGUGUGUGUUUGUGGAAGUGUCUUACAACCGUAUAUGAAUUUGGAUUCCAACGGCCAUGGCUCUGGCGAGUAGUUUAGAGAGAGGGGCAAUUAAUCAUCUUCGAAUUAUAUCAAAACAAUCACAAGAACCCCCAAAACAAGUUGUUGUUUCAACACCCACUUCAAGAAGAUGCGCGGUUUUGACAUCUUCAUUGUCUUUAAGUCUCAUUUCUUUCCCUCAAUUAGCAGAAGGUAGAGAGAGACGCAACAAGAAGAACAUCCCUCUUGAAGACUAUCUCACUUCCCCUGAUGGGUUGAAAUAUUAUGAUGUUGUUGAGGGAAAGGGUCCGAUAGCUGAGAAAGGAUCAACAGUUCAGGUGCAUUUUGACUGCAUGUAUAGGGGCAUAACAGCAGUGUCAAGUAGAGAAUCUAAGCUUUUGGCUGGAAAUCGCAUAAUCGCACAGCCGUAUGAGUUCAAAGUUGGAGCACCUCCAGGCAAAGAACGAAAGCGAGACUUCGUAGACAACCCAAAUGGCCUAUUUUCUGCACAGGCUGCCCCAAAACCCCCAGCUGCUAUGUAUACGAUAACACAAGGGAUGAAAUUGGGAGGAAAGGUGACAGUAACAUCAUUAUCCUUUUGAAAUUAUUAUGUGCUCAACUAACAGAGGAUUGUAAUCGUUCCUCCUGAGGCUGGCUAUGGGAAAAAGGGAAUGAAUGAAAUUCCACCAGGGGCUACAUUUCAGCUGGACAUUGAACUUUUACAAGUAACGUCACCUGAAGUAAAAUGAGGUCAAAUUUUGGUUUGGUUGCAAGGAGAAGCCCAUGACAGAACAAACUCGAUUUGAGAAUUCAAUCCUACUAUUUCAUUACUAUUCAACUUGUAAUUAUUAUUAUGGACCCAACUACUAAAAGUUAAAAUCUGAGUUAUAAAAUAGCCAUUCCUAAA